GGGGAUCUGGCUCAGUGGUAGAGCGCUUACCUAGGAAGCACAAGGUCCUGGGUUCGGUCCCCAGCCCCG
rnacentral:tRNA from 1 species